rnacentral:rRNA from 1 species
UACGUAGGGGGGCGAGCGUUGUCCGGAUUCAUUGGGCGUAAAGAGCUCGUAGGCGGCUUGGCAAGUCGGGUGUGAAAACUCCAGCUCAACCUGGAGACGCCACCCGAUACUGCCAUGGCUUGAGUCCGGUAGGGGACCACGGAAUUCCUGGUGUAGCGGUGAAAUGCGUAGAUAUCGGAAGGAACACCUGUGGCGAAAGCGGCUCACUGGACCAUUACUGACGCUGAGGCACGAAAGCUAGGGGAGCAAACAGG